GGGCACUUGGUCUAGGGGUAUGAUUUUCGCUUCGCAUGGCUUAAAAUGUUUGUGAAAGGUCGUGGGUUCAAUUCCCACAGUGUCCA
rnacentral:tRNA from 1 species